rnacentral:rRNA from 1 species
UACGAAGGGGGCUAGCGUUGCUCGGAAUCACUGGGCGUAAAGCGCACGUAGGCGGCCUUUUAAGUCGGUGGUGAAAUCCUGGAGCUCAACUCCAGAACUGCCUUCGAUACUGAGAGUCUCGAGUCCGAGAGAGGUGAGUGGAACUGCGGGUGUAGAGGUGAAAUUCGUAGAUAUUCGCAAGAACACCAGUGGCGAAGGCGGCUCACUGGCUCGGUACUGACGCUGAGGUGCGAAAGCGUGGGGAGCAAACAGG